rnacentral:rRNA from 1 species
UACGGAGGGUGCAAGCGUUAAUCGGAAUUACUGGGCGUAAAGCGUGCGUAGGCGGUUAUUUAAGUCAGAUGUGAAAGCCCCGGGCUUAACCUGGGAACUGCAUUUGAUACUGGAUGACUAGAGUUGAGUAGAGGGGAGUGGAAUUUCAGGUGUAGCGGUGAAAUGCGUAGAGAUCUGAAGGAACACCAGUGGCGAAGGCGGCUCCCUGGACUCAAACUGACGCUGAGGUACGAAAGCGUGGGUAGCAAACAGG